rnacentral:rRNA from 1 species
GACGAACGCUGGCGGCGGGCUUAACACAUGCAAGUCGUACGGUAAGGCCCUUUCGGGGGUACCCGAGUUGCGAACGGGUGGAUAACACGUGAGUAACCUGCCCACAGCUUUGGGAUAACGCUAGGAAACUGGAGCCAAUACUGAAUAUGUGCUACUGCCGCAUGGCGGGGGUGGGAAAGCUUCGGCGGUUGUGGAUGGACUCGCGGCCUAUCAGCUUGUUGGUGGGGUAGUGGCCUCGCAAGGCGGCGACGGGUAGCCGGCCUGAGGGGGUGAGCGGCCGCAUUGGGACUGAGCUACGGCCCAGACUCCUACGGGAGGCAGAGGGGGGGAAUAUUGCACGAUGGGAGGAAGCCUGAUGGAGCAACGCCGCGUGCUGGAUGACGGCCUUCGGGGUGGAGAACGCGUUCAGCAGGGACGAAGCUUUUUGUGACGGUACCUGCAGAAGAAGCACCGGCUAACUACGUG